UGCCAGCCGCCGCGGUAAUACGGAGGGUGCGAGCGUUAAUCAGAAUUACUGGGCGUAAAGCGCGCGUAGGCGGUUUGGUAAGUCGGAUGUGAAGGCCCUGGGCUCAACCUGGGAAUUGCAUUCGAUACUGCCAGACUAGAGUACAGUAGAGGGUGGCGGAAUUUCCUGUGUAGCGGUGAAAUGCGUAGAGAUGGGAAGGAACAUCAGUGGCGAAGGCGGCCACCUGGACUGAUACUGACACUGAGGUGCGAAAGCGUGGGGAGCAAACAGGAUUAGAUA
rnacentral:rRNA from 1 species